rnacentral:rRNA from 1 species
GACGAACGCUGGCGGCGUGCUUAACACAUGCAAGUCGAACGGAAAGGCCCUGCUUUUGUGGGGUGCUCGAGUGGCGAACGGGUGAGUAACACGUGAGUAACCUGCCCUUGACUUUGGGAUAACUUCAGGAAACUGGGGCUAAUACCGGAUAGGAGCUCCUGCUGCAUGGUGGGGGUUGGAAAGUUUCGGCGGUUGGGGCUGGACUCGCGGCUUAUCAGCUUGUUGGUGGGGUAGUGGCUUACCAAGGCUUUGACGGGUAGCCGGCCUGGGAGGGUGACCGGCCACAUUGGGACUGAGAGACGGCCCAGACUGCUACGGGAGGCAGCAGUGGGGAGUAUUGCACAGUGGGCGGAAGCCUGAGGCAGCAACGCCGCGUGCGGGAUGACGGCCUUCGGGUUGUAAACCGCUUUCGCCUGUGACGAGGCGUGAGUGACGGUAAUGGGUAAAGAAGCACCGGCUAACUACGUG